UACCCAUUGCAUAUCGGAGCUGU
rnacentral:miRNA from 2 species